rnacentral:rRNA from 1 species
GAUGAACGCUGGCGGCGUGCCUAAUACAUGCAAGUCGAGCGAAUGGAUUAAGAGCUUGCUCUUAUGAAGUUAGCGGCGGACGGGUGAGUAACACGUGGGUAACCUGCCCAUAAGACUGGGAUAACUCCGGGAAACCGGGGCUAAUACCGGAUAACAUUUUGAACCGCAUGGUUCGAAAUUGAAAGACGGCUUCGGCUGUCACUUAUGGAUGGACCCGCGUCGCAUUAGCUAGUUGGUGAGGUAACGGCUCACCAAGGCGACGAUGCGUAGCCGACCUGAGAGGGUGAUCGGCCACACUGGGACUGAGACACGGCCCAGACUCCUACGGGAGGCAGCAGUAGGGAAUCUUCCGCAAUGGACGAAAGUCUGACGGAGCAACGCCGCGUGAGUGAUGAAGGCUUUCGGGUCGUAAAACUCUGUUGUUAGGGAAGAACAAGUGCUAGUUGAAUAAGCUGACACCUUGACGGCACCUAACCAGAAAGCCACGGCUAACUACGUGCCAGCCGCCGCGGUAA